rnacentral:rRNA from 1 species
GUGAGGAAUAUUGGACAAUGGGCGCAAGCCUGAUCCAGCCAUGCCGCGUGCAGGAAGACGCAUCUAUGGUGUGUAAACUGCUUUUGUACGGGAAGAAACACUCCCUCGUGAGGGAGCUUGACGGUACCGUAAGAAUAAGGAUCGGCUAACUCCGUGCCAGCAGCCGCGGUAAUACGGAGGAUCCAAGCGUUAUCCGGUAUCAUUGGGUUUAAAGGGUACGUAGGCGGCUUAAUAAGUCAGUGGUGAAAGCCCAUCGCUCAACGAUGGAACGGCCAUUGAUACUGUUAGACUUGAAUUACAAGGAAGUAACUAGAAUAUGUAGUGUAGCGGUGAAAUGCUUAGAUAUUACAUGGAAUACCAAUUGCGAAGGCAGGUUACUACUUGUGGAUUGACGCUGAUAGACGAAAGCGUGGGGAGCGAACAGGAUUAGAAACCCCUGUAGUCC